rnacentral:rRNA from 1 species
GAUGAACGCUAGCGGCAGGCCUAACACAUGCAAGUCGAGGGAGAAGCCCUUCUGGGGGUAGUAACCGGCGCACGGGUGCGUAACGCGCAUGCAACUUACCCUUCACUGGGGGAUAGCCCGAUGAAAUUUGGAUUAAUACCCCAUAAUAUUGUUGGCUGGCAUCAUUUGGCAAUUAAAACUGCGGUGGUGACAGAUGGGCAUGCGUCCUAUUAGCUAGUUGGAGUGGUAACGGCACCCCAAGGCUACGAUAGGUAGGGGUCCUGAGAGGGAGAUCCCCCACACUGGGACUGAGGCAGCGACCAGACUCCUACGGGGGGCAGGAGUGAGGAAUAUUGGUCAAUGGUCGGGAGGCUGAACCAGGCAUGCCGCGUGCAGGAAGAAUGCCUUAUGGGUUGUAAACUGCUUUUAUAUGGGAAGAAGAAGGCGUACGUGUACGUUGAUGACGGUACCAGAAGAAUAAGCAUCGGCUAACUCCGUG